UACGGAGGGAGCUAGCGUUGUCGGAAUUACUGGGCGUAAAGCGCACGUAGGCGGCUUUGCAAGUCAGAGGUGAAAGCCCGGGGCUCAACCCCGGAAUUGCCUUUGAGACUGCAUCGCUAGAAUUGUGGAGAGGUAAGUGGAAUUCCGAGUGUAGAGGUGAAAUUCGUAGAUAUUCGGAAGAACACCAGUGGCGAAGGCGACUUACUGGACACAUAUUGACGCUGAGGUGCGAAAGCGUGGGGAGCAAACAGG
rnacentral:rRNA from 1 species